rnacentral:lncRNA from 1 species
AUAUUUGAUUUUUUUAUAGCUGCCUAUAUAUUUGUGCUCUCUCAUAGGUUAUAGUUAAGGAAUUUGCUGUCUCUGCUGGUGAAGCCAAUAUGGUUCACAAGAAACUUCUGAAAGAGAACUUUGCCUACAUAUGAGAAACAAGGACGGAAUGUUGAAAAGGCUUUAGGAAUCAGAAUAAAAAUGCAAAGCACAAUCUAUAAACCUAUCUUCAUGAUAUGCAGAUGAGAUGACGAUAAAUGAUGUUUGGAGAUUUGUAUCAGUGAACGACGGGAAUGACCUCAAACUGGCUGGUACAACGGCUGAGGAAAGUAUCCUAAGCAUUUGUGGCAAAGCAUUCAUGAUCACCAAAGUGGAGAAGGAGAGGGGAGGAUAUGCUUUCUCCCUCUCGCAGCCCUUAGUAAAGAUGUGGAAACUCCCCACAAAAGGACUGAACAUUUAAAACCCCUGCAGAUGUGUUUUUCUGUUUUCUGAUUCUUGGUUCCACACUAUAGUCACAAUGCCAAAUAUUUGAGGGUUGGGCGAGCAGAAGGUAUGUCUAUAUGACUUUUUCUUUAACAUGUCAGCUAUAUAAACUGCAGACAAGCUUGUCUUACUUCCAUCUGAGAUAAUGAGGAGCAUAAGCUUGCAUCACCCUAUAGAGUUGUGUAAAGAUUAGAAACAGGCAACUGUUUUGGUUUUUACUUAAAUUGGCUUACCAGGAAGCAGUUCUAACCUCUUGCUGCACAAAAUUUUUCUUGGUGGGGCCUGCAGUAGAGCCCCUAUACUUGUUCCAUGGGAGAAUGAUAAGAAAUAUGUUUUUCAGGAAUAUGAAAUCAAAAACAUGCUGGGAAACUUGCAAAGGCUGGGCAAAAUUUGCACAUAAUAUGUCAUGUGAGUAACUUUGAUGUGGACACAGCUGGACAUGCAGAUCUGAGGCAAUUCUUGAUAUUCUGAGAUUUUUAUAUCACCAGUCAGACUAAAACAUUGCUUAGCAAUUUGUGAUGUCUUAGUAAUAUAAUUUUUUUACACAAAUUCCACUCUCCUUAUUACCGGAAUACUUGAGAAUUUUUGACUAAUGCAUUACAAAUGUUACUAAUAUCUUUAAUAUAUAUGCUUCUCUGGAGAGGAAAUGAGCAGUGUGCGUACAGUAGAGUGUUCUGAUUUGAGCAGCAGAGCUAAAAGAUUUUUCUCCAAAAUCCAAAUGAAUGAACCCAGUGUAAAAUUUUUGACGAAAGAGAUUAUUUUUUUCCAGGAAAAAUCUUAUAAAAAUUGGAUUUCUUUUUGAAAUAUCCUUAUUAAGGUGAAAAUUUGUAGGCAAAAUGUUAUCUGACUAUUUUCUUUAUUGCAUAGUCACAUUAGAGAAUCUCACCCAAAAAAGCAAAUGCAAUUCCUCAGAUUUUGAUUGCUAAAAUUUAUUAUUUUAAGAGAUAUAAGUGAUAAUAAAAUACUAUUUUAGAUAUUUUAGGAAAAAACU